CAGGCCCUGAAUCAAGGCUUAUGGCUUGUUGUAGCCGUGGGUUUCAAGCAGGUGCCUAUAUGAACUCUUCCUGUGGUCUGUUAGCUGUGCCGUUCACACUACAUAGGCCCAGCUAAUUCAGUUGGAAGAAACAAGU